rnacentral:rRNA from 1 species
UGGCGGAUGCUUUCACAUGCAAGUCGAACGGUAGAGGGGGCAACCCCUUGAGAGUGGCGAACGGGUGAGUAAUGUAUCGGAACGUGCCCAGUCGUGGGGGAUAACGUAGUGAAAAUUACGCUAAUACCGCAUACGAUCUAUGGAUGAAAGCGGGGGAUCGCAAGACCUCGCGCGAUUGGAGCGGCCGAUAUCAGAUUAGGUAGUUGGUAGGGUAAAGGCCUACCAAGCCAACGAUCUGUAGCUGGUCUGAGAGGACGACCAGCCACACUGGAACUGAGACACGGUCCAGACUCCUACGGGAGGCAGCAGUGGGGAAUUUUGGACAAUGGGCGAAAGCCUGAUCCAGCCAUUCCGCGUGCAGGAUGAAGGCCCUCGGGUUGUAAACUGCUUUUGUACAGAACGAAAAGGUUUCUAUUAAUACUAGGAGCUCAUGACGGUACUGUAAGAAUAAGCACCGGCUAACUACGUGCCAGCAGCCGCGGUAAU